rnacentral:rRNA from 1 species
GACGAACCACCCAAACGUUAUUCGGAAUUACUGGGCUUAAAGGGUGCGUAGGCUGUGCGGAAAGUUGGGUGUGAAAUACCUCAGCUUAACUGAGGAACUGCGCUCAAAACUACCGUGCUCGAGGGAGACAGAGGUGAGCGGAACUUAGGGUGGAGCGGUGAAAUGCGUUGAUAUCCUAAGGAACACCGGUGGCGAAGGCGGCUUACUGGGUCUUAACUGACGCUGAGGCACGAAAGCCAGGGUAGCAAACGGG